rnacentral:lncRNA from 1 species
UACCCAAUUCUCAGUGCACGUUUGCUCGUCGACGCGGAAGGUUGGUUGCGGACAACAUUUUUUUUUUUCAAUAUUUUUUUAAAUGUUUAUUUUUUCAGAACACAGGCUACUAUUAUGUAGCAAACUAUUAAAAAUUAAACUAUGAAACAAUUAUAAUGUUUUUUCACAUUGCCUUCAAAUGAUUAAUCAGCACACUCCAUUGUCGUUGCCCUCACACUUACAGCGAGAGCCCUUCCACUCGCACUUUCACUCGCACCAACCCAUAAUUUUUUCCGACGAGACCUCCUUAUAUAGUUGCUUUAUGCUUACGGCUACAGCUUUUGGAGGGGGUAAAUUAGUUAGACUAAGUGCAUGCUGCACAGAGCAAAAAUUUGAUUUAAAGUUGAAAGACAUAAUUAAUGUGCGCAUAGAGAAUAUAUAAAAAACGUUGUGAAAAUUCUGCAAAUAUAAAAGGGAACAUAGAUCCCAGAAAAACAAUCUGAAAAGUUUGGUGGCUGCAGCGAAACAAAAAAAUAACAAACCCUGGAUAAGGUACGCAAAGAAUUAAUGGAAAAAGUAACCUUAUUACAUAAUCUCAUGUAUAUACAUAUAAAUAGGUUAUGAACCACGUGGGGCAGUAUAACUGCUGACCUGGCCGAUCUGGGCCUGACCAUCGCUCUCGGACGUGGUCCACUCCAACAUCACGAUCAUCAGUCCCAUCAUUUUUUUGCUACAGCGAUCUCCUCAGUCUCUCCUAUCGAAAUCAUUAUAUAUAUAUAUUUUUCAAAGACAAAACUGUAAAUAACUAUACAAAAAAAAAAUUUUUUUAAUUCAAAGCGUUAAANCUAAGUGCAUGCUGCACAGAGCAAAAAUUUGAUUUAAAGUUGAAAGACAUAAUUAAUGUGCGCAUAGAGAAUAUAUAAAAAACGUUGUGAAAAUUCUGCAAAUAUAAAAGGGAACAUAGAUCCCAGAAAAACAAUCUGAAAAGUUUGGUGGCUGCAGCGAAACAAAAAAAUAACAAACCCUGGAUAAGGUACGCAAAGAAUUAAUGGAAAAAGUAACCUUAUUACAUAAUCUCAUGUAUAUACAUAUAAAUAGGUUAUGAACCACGUGGGGCAGUAUAACUGCUGACCUGGCCGAUCUGGGCCUGACCAUCGCUCUCGGACGUGGUCCACUCCAACACCACGAUCAUCAGUCCCUCUUUUUUGUGCCAGCGGACCUUGCCUGCCGGCAGAUACACAGAUGGACUUGGUUAGCGGGACCUAGGCAUACAUAUAUACAUCGACAUACCUACGCGCAGUUCAACAACAACAAUAUAAAACAAGAUAAAACAAGCCUUGCUUCUAGGGAAAAUGUUGGUGCUUGCAUAAUUUGUUGAAAAAAAAUUCGUUCAGCGAUCAGUGCCCAUGCGGUUGACCAUACACCUAAGCGCACCUAAAUAGACCCACUUGGCCGUAUGUCACCCAUUCGUACCUACUCUCAGUUUUAUUAACAUAGUUGAUACCCGAUAUAAUAUGUAAAUUCUAAGGCAACUUAAGGAGAGGGAAAAAUCACAAAAAGUUAGAAAAAGAAAAUUUAAUUAAAAAUCAUGAAUAGGAAAAAAAAAAUUUUUAAUUUGUAUCAUUUUAAAUAUACUUAGACAUGAACCUUAGAAAAUAAGAAGAAGAAAAAAAGUGUAAUAUAUGCAUAGUUAAUAAUAGAUUCUAAGAGGUAUCAUCGGUCUCAUUGUGUCCAUGGAAGGGUAUUAGUAAAAUACCGCUCCAUAACGCUUCUUGUUUUCUCUGGCAACAUUCUACAUCUCUUUAACAGUUUCAUGCCAAUUUCAUGCGUGAAAUUGGGCCCAACGACACCUGCAGCUAAUUAAACGUCUGUAAGUAGACACACAUAUAUACAAAUACAUUCCGGUUCAGGAGAAUAGCAUCUAACGCAGUGAGACGAGCAUGUUUAACCAUAUUUAAAAUAAUAAACUACAAUCACUACAAUUAUGCCAUUUAAUUCAUUUAGAUAAUUCAUUACUACAUUUUAUUUUGAUUAUAUUAUUUUUAUUUAUACUUUGAUCAUUAUCUUGAAUUCAUAUGUCUUAAAUUAGUCCACCUAUAUAUACAUGCAGUAAGAAUAAGUUGAAGGGUUAGGGUUGAAAUAAUGGGGGUUAUAAAUAAAAAAUGAUGUCAUACAAGUUAAAGUAAAAACUAUAACGCUACGAGAAGGGACGUGUGAGACGCUUUUUACGCGUCACAACUUUUAUAACCGGCACUCAGGACUACAUCUAGAUGUAGAAGACAUCGCCAACCACUAGAUAUCGUUCACAUUACAGAACACGUAGUAAAAGCCUACUAAAUAAAAUGCAUCAAAC